rnacentral:rRNA from 1 species
GAUGAACGCUAGCUACAGGCCUAACACAUGCAAGUCGAGGGGCAGCAUGGGGUUUGCUUGCAAACCCCGAUGGCGACCGGCGAAUGGGUGAGCAACGCGUAUCCAACCUGCCCCUGGCGCGGGGAUAGCCCUUGGAAAUGAGGAUUAAGCCCCGAUACGCCCGGGCGCCGCAUGGCGCCGGGGUGAAGAUUUGCGAGGGAUGGGGAUGCGUUGGAUUAGCUUGACGGCGGGGCGACGGCCCACCGUGGCGACGAUCCAUAGGGGUUCUGAGAGGAAGGUCCCCCACACUGGCACUGAGACACGGGCCAGACUCC